rnacentral:rRNA from 1 species
GACGAACGCUGGCGGCGUGCUUAACACAUGCAAGUCGAACGAAGUGGCGAACGGGUGAGUAACGCGUAAUCAACCUGCCCUUCAGAGGGUGACAACAGUUGGAAACGACUGCUAAUACCGCAUAAUGAAGGUGGGGAUUGCGUCGGAUUAGCUAGGUGGGGGGGUAACGGCCCCCCAGGGCGAUGAUCAGUAGCCUGUCUGAGAGGAUGAACGGCCACAUUGGUACGGAGACACGGCCCAGACUCCUACGGGAGGCAGCAGUUGGGAAUCUUCCGCAAUGGACGAAAGUCUGACGGAGCAACGCCGCGUGAGGGAUGACGGCUUUCGGGUUGUAAAGCUCUGUUAAUCGGGACGCGGUACCGGAAUAGAAAGCCACGGCUAACUACGUGCCAGCAGCCGCGGUAAUAC